rnacentral:rRNA from 1 species
GACGAACGCUGGCGGCGUGCUUAACACAUGCAAGUCGAACGGUGAACCUCUUCGGAGGGGAUCAGUGGCGAACGGGUGAGUAACACGUGGGCAACCUGCCCCCGGCUCUGGGAUAACUCCAAGAAAUCGGGGCUAAUACCGGAUGUUCACCGCUUCCCGCCUGGGUGGUGGUGCAAAGGGUUUCCGGCUGGGGCUGGGCCCGCGGCCUAUCAGCCUGUUGGUGGGGUAGUGGCCUACCAAGGCGACGACGGGUAGCCGGCCUGGGAGGGUGACCGGCCACACGGGGACUGGGACGGGGCCCAGAGGCCAACGGGGGGCAGCGGUGGGGAAUAGUGCGCAAUGGGCGGAAGCCGGACGCAGGGACGCCGGGUGGGGGAGGACGGCCUUCGGGUGGGAAACAUCUUUCAGCAGGGACGAAGCGCAAGUGACGGAACCGGCAGAAGAAGCACCGGCCAACUACGG